rnacentral:rRNA from 1 species
CCUACGGGUGGCAGCAGUGAGGAAUUUUGGUCAAUGGGCGCGAGCCUGAACCAGCGAAGUAGCGUGAAGGAUGGCUGCCCUACGGGUUGUAAACUUCUGUUAUGAAGGAGUAAAGUGAGGCACGUGUACCUUUUUGUGUGUACUUUAUGAAUUAUGUUCGGCUAACUCCGGGCCAGCAGCCGCGGUAAUACGGAGGAUCCGAGCGUUAUCCGGAUUUAUUGGGUUUAAAGGGAGCGUAGAUGGGUUGUUAAGUCAGUUGUGAAAGUUUGCGGCGCAACCGUAAGACUGCAAUUGAUACUGGCAGUCUUGAGUAAAGUUGAGGUAGGCGGAAUUCGCGGUGUAGCGGUGAAAUGCUUAGAUAUCGCGAAGAACUCCGAUGGCGAAGGCAGGUUACUAAACUGCCACUGACAUUGAUGCACGAAAGUGAGGGUAGCAAACAGGAUUAGAUACCCCUGUAGUC